AGGGGCUUGCUCCUUCAUUUAGUGGCGCACGGGUGAGUAACGCGUGGAUAAUCUGCCUGAUGAUCCGGGAUAACAUUUCGAAAGGGGUGCUAAUACCGGAUAAGCCCACGAAGUCUUCGGACUUUGCGGGAAAAGGGGGGGACCUUCGGGCCUUCCGUCAUCAGAUGAGUCCGCGUACCAUUAGCUAGUUGGUGGGGUAAAGGCCUACCAAGGCUACGAUGGUUAGCUGGUCUGAGAGGAUGAUCAGCCACACUGGAACUGAGACACGGUCCAGACUCCUACGGGAGGCAGCAGUGGGGAAUUUUGCGCAAUGGGGGAAACCCUGACGCAGCAACGCCGCGUGAGUGAUGAAGGCCUUCGGG
rnacentral:rRNA from 1 species